rnacentral:rRNA from 1 species
GAUGAACGCUGGCGGCGUGCCUAAUACAUGCAAGUCGAGCGAACAGACGAGGAGCUUGCUCCUCUGACGUUAGCGGCGGACGGGUGAGUAACACGUGGAUAACCUACCUAUAAGACUGGGAUAACUUCGGGAAACCGGAGCUAAUACCGGAUAAUAUAUUGAACCGCAUGGUUCAAUAGUGAAAGACGGUUUUGCUGUCACUUAUAGAUGGAUCCGCGCCGCAUUAGCUAGUUGGUACGGUAACGGCUUACCAAGGCAACGAUGCGUAGCCGACCUGAGAGGGUGAUCGGCCACACUGGAACUGAGACACGGUCCAGACUCCUACGGGAGGCAGCAGUAGGGAAUCUUCCGCAAAGGGCGAAAGCCUGACGGAGCAACGCCGCGUGAGUGAUGAAGGUCUUCGGAUCGUAAAACUCUGUUAUUAGGGAAGAACAAAUGUGUAAGUAACUAUGCACGUCUUGACGGUACCUAAUCAGAAAGCCACGGCUAACUACGUG